GACAGAGGGUGCAAACGUUGUUCGGAAUUACUGGGCGUAAAGCGCAUGUAGGCGGUCUAGCAGGUCGGAUGUGAAAGCCCUCGGCUCAACCGAGGAAGUGCAUCGAAACCGCAAGACUCGAGUCCCGGAGAGGGUAGUGGAAUUCUCGGUGUAGAGGUGAAAUUCGUAGAUAUCGAGAGGAACACCAGUGGCGAAGGCGACUUACUGGACACAUAUUGACGCUGAGGUGCGAAAGCGUGGGAGCAACAGGG
rnacentral:rRNA from 1 species